UACGUAGGGUGCGAGCGUUGUCCGGAAUUACUGGGCGUAAAGAGCUCGUAGGUGGUUUGUCGCGUUUGUUCGUGAAAACCGGGGGCUUAACCCUCGGCGUGCGGGCGAUACGGGCAGACUUGAGUACUGCAGGGGAGACUGGAAUUCCUGGUGUAGCGGUGGAAUGCGCAGAUAUCAGGAGGAACACCGGUGGCGAAGGCGGGUCUCUGGGCAGUAACUGACGCUGAGGAGCGAAAGCGUGGGGAGCGAACGG
rnacentral:rRNA from 1 species